GACAUGCGAUACUUGGUGUGAAUUGCAGAAUCUCGUGAACCAUCGAGUCUUUGAACGCAAGUUGUGCCCGAAGCCUUCUGGCCGAGGGCACGUCUGCCUGGGCGUCACGCAUCGUGUCUCCCCCCCACCCCACCUUUGUGUGGGAAAAGGGGGAGGAGGAUGGCCUUCCACUCCUCACCGAGCGUGGUUGGCCUAAAAACGGAGCCUCAGGUCACGGACUGCUGCGGCGUAUGGUGGUAUACAAGGCAUUGCCUAGGAAGCAUCGCGUCGCGCAGCACGUAGCCCGCGAGGACUCGUAGGACCCUAACUUUGUCUCCUCACGGCGGCAAAAUCGUUGCGACCCCAGGUCAGGCGGGGCUACCCGCUGAGUUUAA
rnacentral:misc_RNA from 1 species